rnacentral:rRNA from 1 species
GUGUCAGCAGCCGCGGUAAGACGAACCGAGCGAACGUUGUUCGGAAUCACUGGGCUUAAAGGGCGCGUAGGCGGGCUGGACAGUCCGUGGUGAAAUCCCCCGGCCCAACCGGGGAACGGCCUCGGAUACUUUCGGCCUGGAGGGAGGUAGGGGCGUGCGGAACUGUGGGUGGAGCGGUGAAAUGCGUUGAGAUCCACAGGAACUCCGGUGGCGAAGGCGGCACGCUGGACCUCACCUGACGCUGAGGCGCGAAAGCCAGGGGAGCGAACGGGAUUAGAUACCCCGGUAGUCCUGGCCCUAAACGUUGGGAACUAGGUAGUAGCCCGCGCAUGGGGUUACUGCCGGAGCAAAAGUGCUAAGUUCCCCGCCUGGGGAGUAUGGUCGCAAGGCUGAA